rnacentral:rRNA from 1 species
UACGGAGGGGGCUAGCGUUGUUCGGAAUUACUGGGCGUAAAGCGCGCGUAGGCGGCUUUGUUUGUCAGGCGUGAAAGCCCCAGGCUCAACCUGGGAACUGCAUCCGAUACUGGAUGGCUUGAAUUCGGGAGAGGGAUGCAGAAUUCCAGGUGUAGCGGUGAAAUGCGUAGAUAUCUGGAGGAAUACCGGUGGCGAAGGCGGCAUCCUGGACCGACAUUGACGCUGAGGAGCGAAAGCCAGGGGAGCAAACGGG